GGUUAAGCGACUAAGCGUACACGGUGGAUGCCCUGGCAGUCAGAGGCGAUGAAGGACGUGCUAAUCUGCGAUAAGCGUCGGUAAGGUGAUAUGAACCGUUAUAACCGGCGAUUUCCGAAUGGGGAAACCCAGUGUGAUUCGUCACACUAUCAUUAACUGAAUCCAUAGGUUAAUGAGGCGAACCGGGGGAACUGAAACAUCUAAGUACCCCGAGGAAAAGAAAUCAACCGAGAUUCCCCCAGUAGCGGCGAGCGAACGGGGAGCAGUCCAGAGCCUGAAUCAGUGUGUGUGUUAGUGGAAGCGUCUGGAAAGGCGCGCGAUACAGGGUGACAGCCCCGUACACAAAAAUGCACAUACUGUGAGCUCGAUGAGUAGGGCGGGACACGUGGUAUCCUGUCUGAAUAUGGGGGGACCAUCCUCCAAGGCUAAAUACUCCUGACUGACCGAUAGUGAACCAGUACCGUGAGGGAAAGGCGAAAAGAACCCCGGCGAGGGGAGUGAAAAAGAACCUGAAACCGUGUACGUACAAGCAGUGGGAGCACGCUUAGGCGUGUGACUGCGUACCUUUUGUAUAAUGGGUCAGCGACUUAUAUUCUGUAGCAAGGUUAACCGAAUAGGGGAGCCGAAGGGAAACCGAGUCUUAACUGGGCGUUAAGUUGCAGGGUAUAGACCCGAAACCCGGUGAUCUAGCCAUGGGCAGGUUGAAGGUUGGGUAACACUAACUGGAGGACCGAACCGACUAAUGUUGAAAAAUUAGCGGAUGACUUGUGGCUGGGGGUGAAAGGCCAAUCAAACCGGGAGAUAGCUGGUUCUCCCCGAAAGCUAUUUAGGUAGCGCCUCGUGAAUUCAUCUCCGGGGGUAGAGCACUGUUUCGGCAAGGGGGUCAUCCCGACUUACCAACCCGAUGCAAACUGCGAAUACCGGAGAAUGUUAUCACGGGAGACACACGGCGGGUGCUAACGUCCGUCGUGAAGAGGGAAACAACCCAGACCGCCAGCUAAGGUCCCAAAGUCAUGGUUAAGUGGGAAACGAUGUGGGAAGGCCCAGACAGCCAGGAUGUUGGCUUAGAAGCAGCCAUCAUUUAAAGAAAGCGUAAUAGCUCACUGGUCGAGUCGGCCUGCGCGGAAGAUGUAACGGGGCUAAACCAUGCACCGAAGCUGCGGCAGCGACGCUGAUGCGUUGUUGGGUA
rnacentral:rRNA from 1 species